rnacentral:rRNA from 1 species
UCUGUGGCCAUACCCUCCUAGACACACCUAAUUUUGUCUCAAUUCAAAAGCUAAGUAGGGUUGGUCCUGGUUAGUACUUGGAUGAGAAAGAAUGUAGCCUUGCACGGGUGAUCCGGAGGCUUCCAGAG